UACGUAGGGGGCUAGCGUUGUCCGGAAUCAUUGGGCGUAAAGAGCGUGUAGGCGGUCCGGGUAAGUCCGCUGUGAAAGUCGGGGGGCUCAACCCUCGAAUGCCGGUGGAUACUGUCGGGCUAGAGUGCGGAAGAGGCGAGUGGAAUUCCUGGUGUAGCGGUGAAAUGCGCAGAUAUCAGGAGGAACACCUAUUGCGAAGGCAGCUCGCUGGGACGUAACUGACGCUGAGACGCGAAAGCGUGGGGAGCAAACAGG
rnacentral:rRNA from 1 species